UACGAAGGGUGCAAACGUUGCUCGGAAUUAUUGGGCGUAAAGCGCACGUAGGCGCUUGCAAGUCCGAUGUGAAAGCCCACGGCUUAACCGUGGAAGUGCAUCGGAACUGCAAGCUUGAGUACUAAAGAGGAUCGCGGAAUUCCCGGUGUAGAGGUGAAAUUCGUAGAUAUCGGGAGGAACACCAGUGGCGAAGGCGGCGAUCUGGGUAGAUACUGACGCUGAGGUGCGAAAGCGUGGGGAGCAAACAGG
rnacentral:rRNA from 1 species